rnacentral:rRNA from 1 species
CCUACGGGAGGCAGCAGUAGGGAAUAUUGCACAAUGGGGGAAACCCUGAUGCAGCAACGCCGCGUGGAGGAUGAAGGUUUUCGGAUUGUAAACUCCUGUUGUUAGAGAAGAUAAUGACGGUAUCUAACGAAUAAGCACCGGCUAACACCGUGCCAGCAGCCGCGGUAAUACGUAGGGUGCAAGCGUUAGUCGGAAUCACUGGGCGUAAAGAGAGCGUAGGCGGGAUAGCAAGUCAGAUGUGAAAUCCUAUGGCUUAACCAUAGGACUGCAUUUGAAACUGUUAUGCUAGAGUAUGGGAGAGGUAGGUGGAAUUCUUGGUGUAGGGGUAAAAUCCGUAGAGAUAAAGAGGAAUACUCAUUGCGAAGGCGACCUGCUAGAACAUAACUGACGCUGAUGCGCGAAAGCGUGGGGAGCAAACAGGAUUAGAUACCCCAGUAGUC